rnacentral:rRNA from 1 species
GACGAACGCUGGCGGCGUGCUUAACACAUGCAAGUCGAACGAAGAGCGACGGAAGCUUGCUUCUAUCAAUCUUAGCGGCGCACGGGUGAGUAACGCGUAAUCAACCUGCCCUUCAGAGGGGGACAACAGUUGGAAACGACUGCUAAUACCGCAUACGAUCUAACCUCGGCAUCGAGGAUAGAUGAAAGGUGGCCUCUACAUGUAAGCUAUCACUGAAGGAGGGUAUUGCGUCUGAUUAGCUAGUUGGAGGGGUAACGUCCCACCAAGGCGAUGAUCAGUAGCAGGUCUGAGAGGAUGAACGGCCACAUUGGGACUGAGACACGGCCCAGACUCCUACGGGAGGCAGCAGUGGGGAAUCUUCCGCAAUGGACGAAAGUCUGACGGAGCAACGCCGCGUGAGUGAUGACGGCCUUCGGGUUGUAAAGCUCUGUUAAUCGGGACGAAAGGCCUUCUUGCGAAUAGGGAGAAGGAUUGACGGUACCGGAAUAGAAAGCCACGGCUAACUACGUG